rnacentral:rRNA from 1 species
UACGCAGGGGGCUAGCGUUGCUCGGAAUGACUGGGCGUAAAGGGCGCGUAGGCGGCUUACAUAGUUAGGCGUGAAAUUCCUGGGCUCAACCUGGGGACUGCGUCUAAUACAUGUAGGCUUGAGUGUGAAAGAGGGUCGUGGAAUUUCCAGUGUAGAGGUGAAAUUCGUAGAUAUUGGAAAGAACACCGGUGGCGAAGGCGGCGACCUGGUUCAUUACUGACGCUGAGGCGCGAAAGCGUGGGGAGCAAACAGG